rnacentral:lncRNA from 1 species
CUCUUUUUCUUCUCUUUCCUCUGAGCCCUUCUCCCUCGCCUCCUUCCUUUCUUCUUCCAGGGUUAAAAAUAAUCAACUUUCUGGGAAGCAGCAGCUCCCGCCGAGCAGCCCUGGGGUCCCCGGACGCCUCCCUCCCCGCAGGUAGGGCCGUCCGUAUGUCCGCGGAGGGAAACUGAGGGCUGGGUGAGGUGAUUCAGGCCAGGACGGCUCCGGGCUCCCGCCACAGACACGCGGGGCAUCCUCGGCUCGGGUUGGGGGUUCGGCCCGGCCGCAAUGGGGGCGGAGCGGGGAGCGCCGAAGUCAAAGGUGAACGGCUGAACUCGGCUGGCGCAGCGGCCCCGCUCACUCUGCGCGCCCCGACAUUACCUCAUCGCUGCGCGCGCCCAUUGGCUGCUUACCUCUUCGCCCCACGCGCCCAUUGGCUGCUUCCCACGGAGGCCGGCCCAAUGCGGCGGGAGCGUUAACCCCUUCCGUGACGAGCCCUGCGCUGCUCCUGCAGCCUCGGCUGCCUUCACGUGGCUUCGGGCGCCCGAGGCCCACGGGGGUGGGCGGGGUGCGCGGGGCGGGGCAGGCAGGCGGUCGGAGCCUCCACCGGUUAGCCCCUAGGUCGCAUCGCCCCGGUGUGGGCCCCCUGCUCCUCCGGGCUGUGUGACCUUGGGCAACCGUGCCACCUCGCUGAGCCCGGCGUGUUUGCUCAGCUGUAAACAGCAGCGGAUGAUGUCACUCGUGGCCUCCCUGAUUCCUCGGCGCCUGCCAAGCGUCGGGUGCACGUGGGCUCCGCGCUGCACAUUUUGCCUCCGCGCUGCAAGAGGUGCGGUUAUUAUUAUGAGAUUGCGGGGGGGGGAGAAAACCAGCUCAGAGCUGCAGAGCGGCUUCCCAAGGACGCACAGCGAGAGUCCCAGAGCUGGGACCCCGAGCCCGAGCAAGCCCACAGCGCCCACGGAGGGGCCCACUUCCUGCUGCAGGGACACGAUCGAUGCCUGGCCGGCCAGACCACGGCACAGGCUGCUGUAAUCACAUAAAACCAGUGCCAAGCUGAGAGCCACCCAGGGCCUCCAGAGAGGCUUCGGUCCGGCUUUGAGGGAGGCAGAGGUCCCUCAGACAAAGGCGGGGACGGUGGCGCCCUGGGGGUGCAAAGUGGGGCGGGAAGCAGCAGGGCCCCCUGUGAUUCACCUUCUGGCUGGGGCUCAGCUAACAAACUGCUGAAUAAAACACGCUCUGUCCUCCUUCCUUGACAAAUACGCUGUCGCCAUAAGGACACCGAGACCUGGGAGCCUGGGUUCGAAUUUAGAAGUCUCAGCCAGAGUUCCCACCCAGCCCCUCUUCCCUUUCUGCUCCGGGGCAGGGCUGCGUGUGCCUGGGUACAGACACCCCCUAGCCCCCACCCUAAGCCUUGGGUGGC